GUCAAUUUCAUACCAAACACGAAGCGAAAUUUCGCCUCGCUACUUGCGCAAGGUUGACCGCAGGAUCAUGUGUGUUCAUUCGCCCCAAACAGACAGAAUACCAGUCGGCAUUUCAGAGUUUAUUCACGUGUGAAUCAACAUCGUGGAUUGCGUUUUUUUCUUUUUUGCGUUUUUUUUCUUCUGUCAUAUUCUCCUGUUAGGCCUUGAAACCAUGGAUCAUGUGGACAGAACAACGAUGGCUCUGACAAGCAUCAUUGCUUAGGUGGAUAUAGCUUCAGGAGGGGAAAACUUAAGUGUCUCCACCCACACUGAAGGGACAACCCUAAAAGAUUUCACAUUGCAGUUUAAAGGAUUCCUGCCCUGAGCUGAAGAACAAAAUAAAAAAGACUGCAAAGAAAUGAUGAACUCCUCCCACUAAAGUGGCGAUGUAGAACAUAGGAACAAAGUACCUGAAAAUUUUGUUGUUGUUGUUGGUCUGUUACAUUUACAAUUUAAACAUAGUUUCCUGUUUUGUUCUUGUUUUGUUGUUUUUUUUUUUACUAAAAUUAAUCAUUUUAUAACUACAUUUUGAUAGAUUAGU